rnacentral:rRNA from 1 species
UACGAGGGGGGCGAGCGUUGUUCGGAAUUAUUGGGCGUAAAGGGUGCGUAGGCGGCCUGACAAGUCUGAUGUGAAAUCCCUGGGCUCAACCCAGGGCCUGCAUCGGAAACUGUCGGGCUUGAGUAUGGGAGAGGUGAGUGGAAUUUCCGGUGUAGCGGUGAAAUGCGUAGAUAUCGGAAGGAACACCUGUGGCGAAAGCGGCUCACUGGACCAUUACUGACGCUGAGGCACGA